rnacentral:rRNA from 1 species
UACAGACUCCUACGGGAGGCAGCAGUGGGGAAUAUUGCACAAUGGGGGAAACCCUGAUGCAGCGACGCCGCGUGAGUGAAGAAGUAUUUCGGUAUGUAAAGCUCUAUCAGCAGGGAAGAAAUAGCGACCUUUGGGUCGCCAGACGGUACCUGACUAAGAAGCCCCGGCUAACUACGUGCCAGCAGCCGCGGUAAUACGUAGGGGGCAAGCGUUAUCCGGAAUUACUGGGUGUAAAGGGAGCGUAGACGGUUAAGUAAGUCUGGAGUGAAAGGCCGGGGCCCAACCCCGGGACUGCUCUGGAAACUAUUUAACUUGAGUGCAGGAGAGGUAAGCGGAAUUCCUAGUGUAGCGGUGAAAUGCGUAGAUAUUAGGAGGAACACCAGUGGCGAAGGCGGCUUGCUGGACAGUAACUGACGUUGAGGCUCGAAAGCGUGGGGAGCAAACAGGAUUAGAUACCCGAGUAGC